rnacentral:lncRNA from 1 species
GCCGUUUGUAUUGAUUACUGAAAUGCGCAUUACGUCGUUGCCCUGAAGGUGAACCGAGGACGUGAUGACGUGAGGGGGUAACUACUUUUGACAGACCCAGGGUGUAUGAUGUCUGAGCUGCUUUUCUGCUGUUCUCUUUAUGGAGGGUGUGACCAAGAAACCGAGAGCUCAAAGAGGUACAUCUGCAACAAGAACUCAAACAGUUGCAGUUUUGAUCUUUGCUGAAGACUCAAGACCACACAGGUAAAUGAAAUAAAGCAGAUAUAGACCUAUACAUGCAUAUUCAACCUCUUCCGUGAUAAAUUU